CACCAGUGUGGGCCAGGCUGACAUGGGCAUUUACUGCUGUAUGGCACGAAAUGUGGCCAAUGCCUGCCACAGCCAGGAUGCUCAGCUGACCUUGAAGGUGGGAUCCCCACAGCUGCUGCAGGAACUCGAGAUCCUGUCUGGGCCUCAGAACCUGACUCUCAAGCACACUGAUGCUGGCAGGGAUCUCAGCCAAGGAUGAGGCCAUCUACCAAUGUGUGGCAGAGAACAGUGCAGGCUCCAACCAGGCUAGUGCCCGCCUGGCUGUGACAGGAGACCUUGAGCCACCCCCUGCCUCCAAGGGUCUGCAGGCAGUGGCUCUCUCCCCUUCUGCCAUCCAAGUGUCCUGAGAACAUCAUCAGCUAUGUGCUGCACCUCCAGCCUGUGGGAGACAGGGUCCCAUGAGUGCCGGGCAGUGCCUCAGACUGUCUUGGACAGAGCAAGGGACCACAGAGGCCAGGCUCCAAGUGGACGGAAGCUGGGGGAGAAGACUGAACUCAUCACCCAGGUGAGGGGGAUUAAAGGGAGGGGAAACUGGUGUGCUUGAGGCCCUGGGUCUGGGUCUGACCAUCUCCUUCCCGCUCAGGUGAUCAGCCUAAGGGCUCCCUCCCAGAUGCCACUAACUCCAGCCCUACCAAAGAAUGUACCUCACCUUUGAGUCAGAAAAGGUCCCUCAGCCCUUCUCUGGGGAGGUGCAGGACCGACCACAGGGAGAGAGAAGAGGGUGUGAUUUCUCUAUUUCUCUCUUCUCCUCAAGAAAUGGGGGGUAUCUGUGUCUUCCCCAACACACCAAAUAACCUCAAACUAAACCAGGCUCAGGUGGGAGUCCUCCCCAACUCGUUAGUCCUGCCUCCUGACCCCACUGAAUCUAUCCUCUUGAUCUAAAUAUGAACUAACCAAAGAUACCUAGCUAUAAGGGUUCCUCCCAAGAGGGGAGGCAGGGCAAGGGACUCUGUCAGUACCUCCAUGGACCAACUCCAGCCCCUAGCCUUGCUCAUGCCCAAGCUGGGGUCUGACCCCAGGAAAGGCACCCUGCAUUCCUGGUGGACUGAAUGGGCAGGUAGACAAAGGGGCUGCUCAGUAUCUUGCCCCCCUUGUCCCAACACCAGAAGAG
rnacentral:lncRNA from 1 species